rnacentral:rRNA from 1 species
GUGCUUUACACAUGCAGUCGAACGGAAAGGCCCAGCUUGCUGGGUACUCGAGUGGCGAACGGGUGAGUAACACGUGGGUGAUCUGCCCUGCACUCUGGGAUAAGCCUGGGAAACUGGGUCUAAUACCGGAUAUGACCAACUGUCGCAUGGUGGUUGGUGGAAAGCUUUUGCGGUGUGGGAUGGGCCCGCGGCCUAUCAGCUUGUUGGUGGGGUAAUGGCCUACCAAGGCGACGACGGGUAGCCGACCUGAGAGGGUGAUCGGCCACACUGGGACUGAGACACGGCCCAGACUCCUACGGGAGGCAGCAGUGGGGAAUAUUGCACAAUGGGCGCAAGCCUGAUGCAGCGACGCCGCGUGAGGGAUGACGGCCUUCGGGUUGUAAACCUCUUUCACCAGGGACGAAGCGUGAGUGACGGUACCUGGAGAAGAAGCACCGGCCAACUACGUGCCAGCAGCCGCGGUAAUACGUAGGGUGCGAGCGUUGUCCGGAAUUACUGGGCGUAAAGAGCUCGUAGGCGGUUUGUCGCGUCGUCUGUGAAAUU